UGCUUGGGCUUCACGCAUGCUACAAUGGCCGGUACAAAGGGCUGCGAUACCGCGAGGUGGAGACGAAUCCCAGAAAAGCCGGUCUCAGUUCGGAUUGGGGUCUGCAACUCGACCCCAUGAAGUCGGAGUCGCUAGUAAUCGCAGAUCAGCAACGCUGCGGUGAAUUACCGGUUCCCGGGCCUU
rnacentral:rRNA from 1 species